rfam:Spirochaeta sp. JC230 contig817, whole genome shotgun sequence.
GUUCCGGUAGCUCAGCUGGAUAGAGCAGCUGCCUCCUAAGCAGCAGGUCAGGCGUUCGAAUCGCCUCCGGGACA